GUUUUUGUAGUUGAACUACAACGGUGGUUUUUCAUAUCACAGGUCAUGGUUUAAGUCCAUGCAAGAAUU
rnacentral:tRNA from 1 species